rnacentral:rRNA from 1 species
GACGAACGCUGGCGGCGUGCUUAACACAUGCAAGUCGAACGGAAAGGCCCUGCUUGCAGGGUACUCGAGUGGCGAACGGGUGAGUAACACGUGGGUGAUCUGCCCUGCACUUCGGGAUAAGCCUGGGAAACUGGGUCUAAUACCGGAUAGGUGCCAUUUUUAGUGUGAUGGUUGGAAAGUUUUUUCGGUGUAGGAUGAGCUCGCGGCCUAUCAGCUUGUUGGUGGGGUAAUGGCCUACCAAGGCGGCGACGGGUAGCCGGCCUGAGAGGGUGGACGGCCACAUUGGGACUGAGAUACGGCCCAGACUCCUACGGGAGGCAGCAGUGGGGAAUAUUGCACAAGGGGCGCAAGCCUGAUGCAGCGACGCCGCGUGGGGGAUGACGGCCUUCGGGUUGUAAACUCCUUUCGCUAGGGACGAAGCUUUUUGUGACGGUACCUAGAUAAGAAGCACCGGCUAACUACGUG